rnacentral:rRNA from 1 species
GGCGGCGUGCUUAACACAUGCAAGUCGAACGGAAAGCGCUCUUCGGAGUGACUCGAGUGGCGAACGGGUGAGUAACACGUGGGUGAUCUGCCCUGCACUUUGGGAUAAGCCUGGGAAACUGGGUCUAAUACCGGAUAGGACUACGGCCUGCAUGGGUUGUGGUGGAAAGCUUUUGCGGUGUGGGAUGGGCCCGCGGCCUAUCAGCUUGUUGGUGGGGUGAUGGCCUACCAAGGCGACGACGGGUAGCCGGCCUGAGAGGGUGUCCGGCCACACUGGGACUGAGAUACGGCCCAGACUCCUACGGGAGGCAGCAGUGGGGAAUAUUGCACAAUGGGCGCAAGCCUGAUGCAGCGACGCCGCGUGAGGGAUGACGGCCUUCGGGUUGUAAACCUCUUUCAGCACAGACGAAGCGCAAGUGACGGUAUGUGCAGAAGAAGCACCGGCCAACUACGUGCCAGCAGCCGCGGUAAUACGUAGGGUGCGAGCGUUGUCCGGAAUUACUGGGCGUAAAGAGCUCGUA